GAAAGUUGGCCGAGUGGUUUAAGGCGGCAGUCUUGAAAACUGUUGAGGUGAAAGCCUCCGGGGGUUCGAAUCCCUCACUUUCC
rnacentral:tRNA from 1 species